ACGGAAGGCAGCAGUGGGGAAUAUUGCACAAUGGGCGAAAGCCUGAUGCAGCGACGCCGCGUGAGUGAAGAAGUAUCUCGGUAUAUAAAGCUCUAUCAGCAGGGAAGAAAAUGACGGUACCUGACUAAGAAGCCCCGGCUAACUACGUGCCAGCAGCCGCGGUAAUACGUAGGGGGCAAGCGUUAUCCGGAUUUACUGGGUGUAAAGGGAGCGUAGACGGUUUGGCAAGUCUGAAGUGAAAUGCGGGGGCUCAACUCCUGAACUGCUUUGGAAACUGUCGAACUAGAGUGCAGGAGAGGUAAGUGGAAUUCCUAGUGUAGCGGUGAAAUGCGUAGAUAUUAGGAGGAACACCAGUGGCGAAGGCGGCUUACUGGACUGUAACUGACGUUGAGGCUCGAAAGCGUGGGGAGCAAACAGGAUUAGAUACCCUGGUA
rnacentral:rRNA from 1 species